UUGAAAAGAACUUUGAAGAGAGAGUUCAAGAGUACGUGAAACCGUUCAGGGGUAAACCUAAGAAACCCAAAAGAUCGAACGGGGAGAUUCAUCGUCAGCGACGCUGGCUUCGCGUCGGUGGGCGAUGUCCCGCGGGGCCUCGCGGCUCGCGCGCGGGCACGCUGCCGUGCGUCGAUGUCCGGCGUUCGUCGUCGUGCACUUCUCCCCUAGUAGAACGUCGCGACCCGCUGGGUGUCGGUCUACGGCCCGGGUGCGGUGACUGACGCGUCGCCGGUAUAACGGCACGCGUCAAACCCCCGGUAGCCCGGCCGGCUGCCCGGCGGUACACGCAAGGUAUCAGGCCGCACACAACCGCCGACUCGCGCGCGCUACUUCACGGUGUGCGCGCGAGGAGGUCGAGCGAGUGCGUCGAGGCCGUCGCAAGCGCGCGCCACGGUACACGGAGGCUAACGGACCUAGCGCCGUCACCGGUCCUGGCCCGCUGUUGGUCGUACGGUUAACCUUCGACAGGCCUACGAACGUUCCCCGGCGGGAACGAAAGUCCCCGCCGGGGGACCGAUACCGGUCGGCGACGCUACUGCUUUGGGUACUCUUAGGACCCGUCUUGAAACACGGACCAAGGAGUCUAACAUGUACGCGAGUCAUUGGGACUAGCGAGAUACCUAAAGGCGCAAUGAAAGUGAAGGUCGGCCCUGGUUGUCGACCGAGGGAGGAUGGGCCGCGUCGCGAUGCGGCUCCGCACUCCCGGGGCGUCUCGUUCUCAUCGCGAGAAGAGGCGCACCCAGAGCGUACACGUUGGGACCCGAAAGAUGGUGAACUAUGCCUGGUCAGGACGAAGUCAGGGGAAACCCUGAUGGAGGUCCGUAGCGAUUCUGACGUGCAAAUCGAUCGUCGGAACUGGGUAUAGGGGCGAAAGACUAAUCGAACCAUCUAGUAGCUGGUUCCCUCCGAAGUUUCCCUCAGGAUAGCUGGCACUCGGCCGUUCCGCACGGAACGCGCGCGAGUCUCAUCUGGUAAAGCGAAUGAUUAGAGGCCUUGGGGCCGAAACGACCUCAACCUAUUCUCAAACUUUAAAUGGGUGAGAUCUCUGGCUUUCUUGAACUAUGAAGCCACGAGCAUCUCGGAUCAGAGUGCCAAGUGGGCCAUUUUUGGUAAGCAGAACUGGCGCUGUGGGAUGAACCAAACGCAGAGUUAAGGCGCCCAACUCGACGCUCAUGGGACACCAUGAAAGGCGUUGGUUGCUUAAGACAGCAGGACGGUGGCCAUGGAAGUCGGAAUCCGCUAAGGAGUGUGUAACAACUCACCUGCCGAAGCAACUAGCCCUGAAAAUGGAUGGCGCUGAAGCGUCGAGCCUAUACUCUGCCGUCAGCGGCAAGUGGGGCGGCCGUGCGUGCGCGUUAGCGCGCGUACGCGCCGCCACGAAGCCCUGACGAGUAGGAGGGUCGCGGCGGUGUGCGCAGAAGGGUCU
rnacentral:rRNA from 1 species